AGCGAACGUUAGCGGCGGGCCUAACACAUGCAAGUCGAGCGAGAAAGUGGCUUCGGCCAUCAGUAAAGCGGCGGACGGGUGAGUAACACGUAGGUAAUCUUCCCUUGAGCGGGGGACAACGAGCCGAAAGGCUCGCUAAUACCGCAUAAGUUUCCAGAGACUCUGGUCUUUGGAAGGAAAGCUAGGCCGCAAGGUCCGGCACUCGAGGAGGAGCCUGCGUCGCAUCAGCUAGNGGUGGGGUAAUGGCCUACCAAGGCGAAGACGCGUAGCUGGUCUGAGAGGAUGAUCAGCCACACUGGGACUGAGACACGGCCCAGACUCCUACGGGAGGCAGCAGUGGGGAAUAUUGGACAAGUGGGCGCAAGCCUGAUCCAGCCACGCCGCGUG
rnacentral:rRNA from 1 species